GGGGUAUAUGUCUUCGGAUAUAGAGACCGGCGCACGGGUGCGUAACGCGUAUGCAAUCUACCUUUCACAGAGGGAUAGCCCAGAGAAAUUUGGAUUAAUACCUCAUAGUAUUAUUGAGUGGCAUCACUUAAUAAUUAAAGUCACAACGGUGAAAGAUGAGCAUGCGUCCCAUUAGCUAGUUGGUAAGGUAACGGCUUACCAAGGCAACGAUGGGUAGGGGUCCUGAGAGGGAGAUCCCCCACACUGGUACUGAGACACGGACCAGACUCCUACGGGAGGCAGCAGUGAGGAAUAUUGGACAAUGGGCGCAAGCCUGAUCCAGCCAUGCCGCGUGCAGGAUGACGGUCCUAUGGAUUGUAAACUGCUUUUGUACGAGAAGAAACACUGCUUCGUGAAGCAGCUUGACGGUAUCGUAAGAAUAAGGAUCGGCUAACUCCGUGCCAGCAGCCGCGGUAAUACGGAGGAUCCAAGCGUUAUCCGGAAUCAUUGGGUUUAAAGGGUCCGU
rnacentral:rRNA from 1 species